AGGGAAUUUUCGUCAAUGGGGGCAACCCUGAACGAGCAAUGCCGCGUGAGUGAAGAAGGUCUUCGGAUCGUAAAGCUCUGUUGUAAGAGAAAAACGGCCGCCAUAGGGAAUGAUGGCGGAGUGAUGGUAUCUUACCAGAAAGCCACGGCUAACUACGUGCCAGCAGCCGCGGUAAUACGUAGGUGGCGAGCGUUAUCCGGAAUGAUUGGGCGUAAAGGGUGCGUAGGUGGCACGUUAAGUCUGGAGUAAAAGGGAGCGGCUCAACCGCUGUUGGCUCUGGAAACUGGCGAGCUAGAGUGCAGGAGAGGGCGAUGGAAUUCCAUGUGUAGCGGUAAAAUGCGUAGAUAUAUGGAGGAACACCGGUGGCGAAGGCGGUCGCCUGGCCUGCAACUGACACUGAAGCACGAAAGCGUGGGGAGCAAAUAGGAUUAGAUACCCUAGUAGUCCACGCCGUAAACGAUGAGAACUAAGUGUUGGGGAGA
rnacentral:rRNA from 1 species